CUGGUCGGAAGAUGUUCUGGAUGUAAAAGGAUAGCAGGCAAGGGUCUGCAACAAGACAGGUCAUGAGGGAGGAAAGAGCCCCUUCUGGAGAAGGAGGCUGCCAUUGUCUUCAACUACUUUGCAUUUCUUUCAUCUUCCCUAAAUUUGCAGAGACUACGUUAACCAAAAUGGAAGAACUUUGUUGCCACAAUUUACAAGUUAGGGCCGCAGCUGGUGAAUCAGCUGAUAAAAGGUGUUCCUGGACACAGCAGUCACCUGAGAGGCAGAUCUGAGUCCUGCAGUACCCACAAGAUGUCAAUUUGGUUCUUCAAGGGGAGCACUACCUCAUCUAAAGUCAGAUGGACACAAAACGGAAGAAUCAUCCGCUAAUAGAACCUCCAGCUGGACUCAGUUCCAGUGUAUUUAACCUUGUCUCACACACUGGAGAGGGUACUAAAUAUUUGGGAUGGCCUCAAAUGCUACUUCGUAUCUCACUGUGGUGAUGAUAAUGAGCCCGCUCCGUCCAAACACCACAGAACAAGAGGAACCUGAGAAAGGAGACUAGCAAAUAUAUUUAAGAGUCCAGUCUGUAAACUGUACAUUCUGUUUCUGCAUGCCAUUACACCUCACUUUGAGAACUUCAGUGCAUUGCUACAAUGUGAGGAACCAAUGAUCCACAGGCUACAUCCUGCCAUGAUGAAAGUAUAUAUAGACCUUUUAGGAUAGUUCAUUAAA